ensembl:lncRNA
AUCCCUUUUUCGUUUGUCUGUUUGUUUUGUCUUUUUAGUUUCACCUGUGUUUCUGUUGUUUGGUUUAAUGAGCUUCCCUAUAUUUAGUGGGUAGACCCGCCCUUGUUUUGUGCAGGAUUGACUUUAUGUUACAUGUGUGCAUUUUAGGUAGAGGUGGAUUUAUUUUCUUAACUUGGUACCUUGUGUUUUUUGGGUUGUCAACGUUCUAUGUCCGCGCCCUGUAUUGUUGGGCUUAUCAUUUUGUGUGCCGAAGUAAAGAGCACUUUUCCCCGGUGGAACUCUCUGCGUCUGAUUCCUUCAUCCACCUAGUCCCGCGUGACAGAAUCCCGCAUCUCAUAUGGAAUCAGCAGGAGCAGCUGCACCUCCUCUCCCAUCGAUGGAGAAAAUGGUCCUCCAUCAUACCAGUGUUCUCCACAGGAUUGGUUCUGCAAUGGAUCAAAUGAUGGAGAGGAUGGCUCAAUGGGAGAGGAGUGGCCUCCCACCUCAUCUCCAGCACCCCCUCCUCCAGCACCUCCUGUUCCUGCUACCACAUCCGGCUCCAGGGCUCUUCGGCUGGCGCUCCCACGGGAGUAUGAUGGAACGGCAGUGGGGUGUCAGGGUUUCCUCCUACAACUGGAACUUUACCUGGCGACUGUUCGUCCUACUCCCUCCGGAGAGGAGAGCGUGAGCGGCCUCAUCUCCUGUCUGACUGGACGAGCCCUAGAGUGGGCCAACGCAGUGUGGAAUGGUCCAGACUCUGCGAGGGAUCAUAACCCCGAGUUCACCCGCUGAUUCCGAGCUGUAUUUGACCACCCACCAGAGGGUCGUGCGGCGGGUGAACGUCUGUCCCACCUGCGUCAGGAGACGAGGAGCGCACAGGACUUUGCCCUGGAGUUCAGGACCUUGGCCGCAGGAGCAGGGUGGAACGACAGAGCCUUGAUAGACCAUUUCCGAUGCAGCCUCAGGGAGGACGUCCGCAGGGAGCUAGCGUGUCGGGACACCACCCUCACACUGGAUGAGCUCAUUGACAUGGCCAUCCAUCUCGACAACCUGCUGGCUGCCCGCGGGCGUUCGGAACAGGUUUCCACCUCCCAGCCCUCCUGCUCCUAUCCCUAUGGAGUUAGGAGGGGUGGCUUUGAGGGGGACCGGAGCUGGAGGAACUCGUCUGGGAGUCGGGAGGGCAGACGGAGCACUACUUGAACACCCCAGGCCGGUGGUGGCUGGUCCCCUGCAGGAAGUUGAGGUGCCUGAGGUCCCUCCGCCCCCUCUGGACAUCGAAGGGUCCCCGGCGUACACAGUACGGGGCAUUCUGGACUCGAGACGCCGGGUGAGGGGGCUACAGUACCUCAUGGACUGGGAGGGGUAAGGUCCGGAGGAGAGAUGCUGGGUUCCAGUGGGGGACAUUUUGGAUCCUUCUCUCCUGAGAGAUUUCCACCGCCUCCACCCGGAUCGCCCGGCGCCUCAACCUCCGGGUCGUCUUUGAGGCCGGUGGCGGCGCGCUGCGGGAGCCGCGUGUCAGGGGGGGUACUGUCACGACUUCCGCCGAAGUUGGCUCCCCUGCCUGUUCGGGCGGUGCUCGGUGGUCGUCGUCGCCGUCCUACUAGCCGCCACCGAUCCCUUUUUCGUUUGUCUGUUUGUUUUGGCUUAUUAGUUUCACCUGUAUUUCUGUUGUUUGGCUUAAUGAGCUUCCCUAUAUUUAGUAGGUAGACCCGCCCUUGUUUUGUGCGGGAUUGUCUUUAUGUUAAGUGUGUGCAUUUUAGGUAGAGGUGGAUUUAUUUUCUUAACUUGGCACCCUGUGUUUUUUGGGUUGUCAACAUUGUAUGUCCUUUCCCUGUAUUGUUGGGCUUAUCAUUUUGUGUGCCGAAGUAAAGGGCUCUUUGCCCUAGUGGAACUCUCUGCGUCUGAUUCCUUCACCCACCUAGUCCCGCAUGGCACCAAGGAAUUUAAUGGAGGAAAGUCUGUCAAUUGUUCAUGAGACUCACGCACAGCUGAAAGAAGGUUGCUCACAGGCUAUUAUUUCCUUAAAAAUUGUACUAUCAGCGUCUGAGGACAAUAUUAGUUAUUUUUGUUUAGUUUCGGGAUCCUUCUCCUACUUAAUUCACAGUCCCG